rnacentral:rRNA from 1 species
GACGAACGCUGGCGGCGUGCCUAAUACAUGCAAGUAGAACGCAGUUGCGAACGUGUGAGUAACGCGUAGGUCACUGCCGGGUAACGGGGGAUAACUAUUGGAAACGAUAGCUAAUACCGCAUACUACCAGAUGGACCUGCGUUGUAUUAGCUAGUUGGUGAGGGAACGGCGCACCAAGGCAACGAUACAUAGUCGAGCUGUGGGGGUGAUCGGCCACACCGGGACUUGUAAACGGCCCAGACUCCUACGGGAGGCAGCAGGAGGGAAUCUUCGGAAAUGGGGGGAAACCUUGCCGAGCCACGCCGCGGGAGUGAAGGAGGGCUUCGGGUUGUAAAGCUCUGUUGUGAAGGAAGCGGUACUUGACCAGAAAGGGACGGCUAACUACGUGCCAGCAACCGCGGUAAUAC